CCUUGGGUCCGGCAUAACCCCGGGAAACUGGGGAUAAUUCCGGAUAACGCACAUAUGCUGGAAUGCUUUAUGCGUCAAAUGGAUUCGUCUGCCCAAGGAUGGGUCUGCGGCCUAUCAGGUAGUAGUGGGUGUAAUGUACCUACUAGCCGACGACGGGUACGGGUUGUGAGAGCAAGAGCCCGGAGAUGGAUUCUGAGACAUGAAUCCAGGCCCUACGGGGCGCAGCAGGCGCGAAAACUUUACAAUGCGGGAAACCGUGAUAAGGGGACACCGAGUGCCAGCAUCAUAUGCUGGCUGUCCGGGUGUGUAAAAUACACCUGUUAGCAAGGGCCGGGCAAGACCGGUGCCAGCCGCCGCGGUAACACCGGCGGCCCGAGUGGUGAUCGUGAUUAUUGGGUCUAAAGGGUCCGUAGCCGGUUUGGUCAGUCCUCCGGGAAAUCUGACGGCUUAACCGUUAGGCUUUCGGAGGAUACUGCCAGGCUUGGAACCGGGAGAGGUAAGAGGUACUACAGGGGUAGGAGUGAAAUCUUGUAAUCCCUGUGGGACCACCUGUGGCGAAGGCGUCUUACCAGAACGGGUUCGACGGUGAGGGACGAAAGCU
rnacentral:rRNA from 1 species